rnacentral:rRNA from 1 species
ACGGGAGGCAGCAGUAGGGAAUUUUCCGCAAUGGGCGAAAGCCUGACGGAGCAAUACCGCGUGAGGGAAGACGGCCUAUGGGUUGUAAACCUCUUUUUUCAGGGAGGAAUAAAUGACGUGUACCUGAAGAAUAAGCAUCGGCUAACUCCGUGCCAGCAGCCGCGGUAAGACGGAGGAUGCAAGUGUUAUCCGGAAUCACUGGGCGUAAAGCGUCUGUAGGUGGUUGGACAAGUCAACUGUUAAAUCUUGGAGCUCAACUUCAAAAUCGCAGUCGAAACUGUUUGACUAGAGUAUAGUAGGGGUAAAGGGAAUUUCCAGUGGAGCGGUGAAAUGCGUAGAUAUUGGAAAGAACACCGAUGGCGAAGGCACUUUACUGGGCUAUUACUGACACUCAGAGACG